UUAUCAGCCAGGCUCCUGGCUAAAUUCCAGCUCUUAGCUGGAUUUUAGCAAAAGCUUGGCUGUAAA
rfam:Neotoma lepida isolate 417 scaffold_30262, whole genome shotgun sequence.